GACGAACGCUGGCGGCGUGCUUAACACAUGCAAGUCGAACGGACAGGUCCUGCUUUUGUGGGUUUCUCGAGUGGCGAACGGGUGUGUAUCACGUGAGUAACCUGCCCUUGUCUUUCGGAUAACUUCAGGAAACUGGGGCUAAUACCGGAUAUGAGCUCCUGCUGCAUGGUGUUGUUUGGAAAGUUUUGGCGGUUGUGGAUGGACUCGCGGCUUAUGCGCUUGUUGGUGAGGUAGUGGCUUACCAAGGGUUUGACGGGUAGCCUGCCUGGGAGGGGGACCGGCGACAAGGGGACUGAGAGACGGCGCAGAAUCGUACGGGAGGCAGCAGUGGGGAGUAUGGCACAAUGGGCGGAAGCGAGAUGCAGCAACGCCGCGUGCGGGAUAACGGGCUUCGAGUUGUAAACAGAUUUGGAAGGUGACGAAGAGGGAGUGACGGUAAUGGGUAAAGAAGCAACGGCUAACUACGUG
rnacentral:rRNA from 1 species